GUUUUCUGGAAAUUCUCCUCCCUCCAAAAAGGAAAUAAAGAUGCCUUAAUUGGCUAAAAUACGCACUAAUCCGCCUUAGACUACAUGGUUUUCCUGUUUUUUGAGUGAUUUGGAAGAGUGGAGCCAAGCCAAAAUCCUGAAGGCUUUCAUCAUGAACAGGACAUGGGUGCAGUGGAUUGAGAAACUAAGCAAUCCACUAAGACCUGUGCUGAAGCUCUUUACAUUGUUUUAUUUCACAAGUACAACCAACUUCUAGGUCCCGUGGUUGUCUCUAUUCUUCAAGAAGCGAUGAGCAAUUUGGACUGAAGUUUCAAGAUUGCUUCUCAAAGAUGUUGCUUAUGGAGCCACUGCAUAUGUUUAUUAUGAUAUUCAAAGAGAGAAACUUUUGAAGAAUUAGUAAGUUGUCAUCUACAAUAAUUUUCCGUGAUUAUCAAUCUAAGUUUUGUGUGUGACUGUGAUGUGGUGUGAUAAUGUUUAUAUUCUGCAGCAAUACCACUCUAUAAUGUUUCUUGGAAUUUACAAGUUGGUUCCAACUAAUUCCGUCUUGCCUCUCUAACUCUUGGCGUAGGAUUUAACACCGACAUCUUUUAGCUAGGUUAUCUUUUGGAACUUUCAUAAUGAGUCUAGGAAAUUUAUUACUUCUAUUAAUUUGCUUGUCUAGCCACUGUAAUUUUCCUAGCUCCUGGCUUGUGUUCGUCGAAUGGUUCAUAGGUGUUGGAAUGAUUGUGUUGGUAUCUUUCGGGUUUUCUGUUUUUGGAGCUUGAAUGUUUAUUGUCCUUCUGUGACACUGAUAUUAAUAUUACAGUAUUAUAAUCUUACUUAGUUAUUGGAGAAAAAAUAAUUAAGUUUCCCACCUAUGAAUCGAUCUCUUAUUAUACUUUCUUUUCUUUUUCUUUUUUGGUUUGAUGAUAUAUUAUGAAGUAUACAUUGGCUGACCUUAGUUAAUUUCAAUGUUUUUUUUUUCAUUUUAUAUCUUAUAUUAUAAUAAUUUUCAAUUUAUAUUUAUGGAUGUAUUUUGAAGCGUAUUAGCUCAAAUGGUAGAGUAAUGUGCAGUUGCACAUGGAUGUAGGUUCAAGUCCUACAUGUGCUAUAAUAAUUGUAAUGACUUAUUUACCACCA